UAAGAAGAAGUUUGCAAAACCUUGGUCUAGACUUCAGAAAGCAACGGGAAAAAUGUGAAUGAUGCAGUUGGAAUUUAAAAGUGUGAUGUGACUUUGGUCAUAGUAUUGUGAAUAGCACAAAAGAAUGAGAAAUUAUUCUUCCAUUAUUUGAAAAACUAUUAUUCAAUUCAACAAAGAAGUCCCUAACAUUACUGAUAAAAGAGUGAAGUUCCAGUGCAUAUCUUCUCUGUUUCUCUUUCGUCUUGAUCAUUAAGAAGCACUGUAUAUCUGGAAAUGCUGAUGAGCAAAGCCUUGUAGUAAUUUGUGAUGCAUCUCAUUCAUACUCCUGCCCUAGACGAAGAUAAUGAGAGUCAACUGAGAUUCCAGAAGGAAGACAUUUGGCCAUGGAGAAGAGGACAACAAAGACAAGCUCAAAAAGAAAAGAAAAGUUGCUCAUUUAUUUCAACACUAUAGAAGUUUUCAAUUUUAUUGCUUAGGAUGAACAUCUGAACCACAAAGAAAGAUCAUUUAUUUU
rnacentral:lncRNA from 1 species